rnacentral:tRNA from 1 species
GCGCGCGUAGCUUAAUUGGUAAAGCAGACGUCUUAUACACGUCCGAUGUCCAGGUUCGAGUCCUGGCGCGCGCA